ACGCUGGCGGCGUGCUUAACACAUGCAAGUCGAACGGAAAGGCCCUGCUUUUGUGGGGUGCUCGAGUGGCGAACGGGUGAGUAACACGUGAGUAACCUGCCCUUGACUUUGGGAUAACUUCAGGAAACUGGGGCUAAUACCGGAUAGGAGCUCCUGCUGCAUGGUGGGGGUUGGAAAGUUUCGGCGGUUGGGGAUGGACUCGCGGCUUAUCAGCUUGUUGGUGGGGUAGUGGCUUACCAAGGCUUUGACGGGUAGCCGGCCUGAGAGGGUGACCGGCCACAUUGGGACUGAGAUACGGCCCAGACUCCUACGGGAGGCAGCAGUGGGGAAUAUUGCACAAUGGGCGGAAGCCUGAUGCAGCAACGCCGCGUGCGGGAUGACGGCCUUCGGGUUGUAAACCGCUUUCGCCUGUGACGAAGCGUGAGUGACGGUAAUGGGUAAAGAAGCACCGGCUAACUACGUGCCAGCAGCCGCGGUGAUACGUAGGGUGCGAGCGUUGUCCGGAUUUAUUGGGCGUAAAGGGCUCGUAGGUGGUUGAUCGCGUCGGAAGUGUAAUCUUGGGGCUUAACCCUGAGCGUGCUUUCGAUACGGGUUGACUUGAGGAAGGUAGGGGAGAAUGGAAUUCCUGGUGGAGCGGUGGAAUGCGCAGAUAUCAGGAGGAACACCAGUGGCGAAGGCGGUUCUCUGGGCCUUUCCUGACGCUGAGGAGCGAAAGCGUGGGGAGCGAACAGGCUUAGAUACCCUGGUAGUCCACGCUGUAAACGGUGGGUACUAGGUGUGGGGUCCAUUCCACGGGUUCCGUGCCGUAGCUAACGCUUUAAGUACCCCGCCUGGGGAGUACGGCCGCAAGGCUAAAACUCAAAGGAAUUGACGGGGCCCCGCACAAGCGGCGGAGCAUGCGGAUUAAUUCGAUGCAACGCGUAGAACCUUACCUGGGUUUGACAUGGAUCGGGAGUGCUCAGAGAUGGGUGUGCCUCUUUUGGGGUCGGUUCACAGGUGGUGCAUGCCUGUCGUCAGCUCGUGUCGUGAGAUGUUGGGUUAAGUCCCGCAACGAGCGCAACCCUUGUUCACUGUUGCCAGCACGUUAUGGUGGGGACUCAGUGGAGACCGCCGGGGUCAACUCGGAGGAAGGUGGGGAUGACGUCAAGUCCUCAUGCCCCUUAUGUCCAGGGCUUCACGCAUGCUACAAUGGCUGGUACAGAGAGUGGCGAGCCUGUGAGGGUGAGCGAAUCUCGGAAAGCCGGUCUCAGUUCGGAUUGGGGUCUGCAACUCGACCUCAUGAAGUCGGAGUCGCUAGUAAUCGCAGAUCAGCAACGCUGCGGUGAAUACGUUCCCGGGGCUUGUACACACCGCCCGUCAAGUCAUGAAAGUUGGUAACACCCGAAGCCGGUGGCCUAACCGUUGUGGGGGAGCCGUCGAAGGUGGGACUGGUGAUUAGG
rnacentral:rRNA from 1 species